GAUUUAGAUUUGUUUCGGAGUUCAACAAUAUUUAUGGGAAAAUAAUUUUGACAUUCUUAACAUGGUGUAUGAUUACUGUGUGUGGCACGCUGCUAAUGAUUCAAAUUCAAUUGUCACAAGACCCCGUAGACUGGCCAGCGCUUCUGAUUACCAUCUGGCAAUUAUUUUGGACAUUUGCUUUUUUAUUCUUAUAUUGUUACCGCGGCGAAGAAGUAAGCUCUGCAUUUGAGGAACUGGCUGAUGAGAUUUCUCAAUGUGAAUGGGACUCGUUUCCAUACCAACUACAACGCAUUCUACCCACUGUUUUGAUUGCUGCCCAAGAUUCUGUCCAAAUUAAAACAUAUGGUUACGCUUGUACACAUGAUAGAUUUAAAAAGAUUGUCAACGGCGGUUAUUCAUACUACGCUAUUCUCCGUGAGUUCUACUGAGUGAAUCAAUCGAUGUUGGAUUUUUAUGGAACUUAACUAUAUUGGAUGACAAAUAUGUUUUUGAAAAAGAAAAAAAAAUAUUUUCAAUGCACUUUGCAUCUUACACAUAU